rnacentral:rRNA from 1 species
GGGGAAUAUUGGACAAUGGGGGCAACCCUGAUCCAGCAAUUCUGUGUGCACGAUGAAGGUCUUCGGAUUGUAAAGUGCUUUCAGCAGGGAAGAAAAAAAUGACGGUACCUGCAGAAGAAGCGACGGCUAAAUACGUGCCAGCAGCCGCGGUAAUACGUAUGUCGCGAGCGUUAUCCGGAAUUAUUGGGCAUAAAGGGCAUCUAGGCGGCCCUGUAAGUCUAGGGUGAAAACCUGCGGCUCAACCGCAGGCCUGCCCCGGAAACUACAGGGCUAGAGUGCUGGAGAGGUGGACGGAACUGCACGAGUAGAGGUGAAAUUCGUAGAUAUGUGCAGGAAUGCCGAUGAUGAAGAUAGUUCACUGGACGGUAACUGACGCUGAAGUGCGAAAGCUAGGGGAGCAAACAGGAUUAGAUACCCUGGUAGUCCUAGCUGUAAACGAUGAUUACUGGGUGUGGGCAUGAAGAGUGUCCGUGCCGAAGCUAAUGCGAUAAGUAAUCCGCCUGGGGAGUACGGCCGCAAGGCUG